ensembl:lncRNA
CUGAAAUGGUCCAAUUUAUGGACACGUCAGAAUUUGCCAAAUUCUUUUGUUCCAUAUGGUAUGAUUUACAUAUCAUUAAAUGACUAUGACUGUCACAAAUACUUGGUAGCUUUGAUUAAUGUGCAUCCAAAAUGUUGCCCUGAUUGAUAGCCAUUACAUAUUGUGUCUGAGUGACAGUGCACAUCUAUACAUUUCAACCCUGGUCCUAAAACAAGUAGGCACGUAUGAGCAACAAUGCCAUUGCUAUCACAUUCAAAUAUUGAACAAAUAGACAGGCAAACUCAUUAGUGAUACAAUCAGUCUUUUGCUUACGAAGCCAAACUGCCAUGUUUACCACAAUUGCCGUGCCUUGGAGUGGGAUAGGUGGUCUGUACAUGUGUGACUGUGUUUGUGUGGGACUGAAAAAGAGAGAGAGAGAGAGAGAGAGAGAGAGAGAGAGAGAUGGGGAGGGAGGCAGGGGUGUCUUUGAAUCAGUGCUUUAGCCGAGCACCUCUCCUCUGUCACGUCAGCCAAGGAACGUCAGGGCUUACCGAUAAAGCGAUAAACACUGAGACAAAAUGGCAGCCCCCAUACCCCCUUGUUCUUAAAAAAAGGUGUCGUGCCAACAAAGUGCACUUAAAACAUUCAAAGCCAGAACUGACCCCUUGGUUUCCACCUUUUGAACCCAUUCAAACAUAAAGCCAUGAAAUUAGGAAGGUUAUUCUAGUCAGGCAAAAGGCAUCGGCGUCCUGGCAUGUAUGUCACCUCACCUGAGCAUGGCCCCGUGCUUUCUCACACCGUCUGGCCAGGGAAGAGAGCUGUGAAGCGGGAGAGGAGAAGGGAGAGGAUGGGGUCGGAUGGCUGACCGUGUAUUUUCUCAUUGUGGGCACUAGUAUUCCAGCUCUGUGUGUUUUGUCAUUACAUCGUGCCUGUGAACGGAUUCCUCCAACUUCCAUGCUUGCCACUCACUGGUGAAGUUGGUUGCCAUGGAGAGGGGACUGGCUCGCUGCAUUGCGAUGCAGAUCUGACUGAUUAUUUUGUUGUUGUUGUUUCCGCAUCCUGGCCAGCCGAGAGAUCCACCACCAUUUUGCACCACUCUGUUUAGACUUGUGUGUGAAAUUAGCAAGAUACUUAGUAAGAGAAGCCAUCAACUUUUUACACAUUACUGCAGAUUGUGUGAACCAGAGAAUGAUCAGAUUUGAGAGGAGAUACUGAAAAACUGCUGAUUUAUCAGUGUUCAAGCGAACUAUAAGAAAUACUUAGAAAGACUUUUGAGAGGCCUAAGAGAUCAUUUUGCUUUAAUGGGGAGGGGGCAGGGAGAAAAUUAAUAUAUAACACAUAUAAGGAUGAGGAUAUUUUUAUUACAUAGAUAUGUAAAUUGUAUUGAAAGAAUUUAACGAAUGUACCUCCACUGAAGAGAUUUCUGUGUAACAUAUUUUUACCGAUAUAUUAGCAAUCUAAGCACAAUACAUUUCUGACUUCAAUAUGAUACUGUAGCUGUACAUGUGGCUAUAUACACAAUAUCAUUUUUUUUUAGCUUUAGAAUGAGUUCCCUUCUCGCUUUUCUCUUUCUUUUGUUUUUGCGUUUUAAAAGAAUGUGUCCGUAGCUUUUGGAAGGUCUAAGAGCUUUUUUUUUCGACCAAGGUGUGUCACGCUCAGCCCUCCCUCUUUUAGGAGUAGUAAGCAGCUGGCACUGUUCUUUACAGAAAGGUGGUUUGAAUCAAUGAAAAAUUCAUUUCUUGGUCACUUCACAAGUUUGAAUAAAUGUUCUUUUUUUUGUUUUGCCCUGAAAAAUGAGAUGCAUAUCUCAAACAUGGCUUUCUAAGCCAGCAACCUUAGUAAAGUCUUAAUUUGUCAUUAUAGAAAGGUAGAAUUAUUGAAUUCAUUUCAACGUCGUCUUGGGUUUGCACUCACAGUUUCACAUGUACAACAACAAUUUCACCAGUCAGUUUAUUAUCAGUGUGUCGUAGUCAUUACCACAUCGCAAUAAAAUGUUGACUUAGUCGAGGUCCAAAAUACUGCUUUCAUUUCAGAGCAAUAUUGUGUCAAUUGUAUGCCUUGAUGAUAAACUCUUGUUGGCCCCCGAUGUUUGUAUGUACUUGUGUUAGUGUGACUGGAUCCAGUGUAAAGGCUCAUUGUGGCCUCCUGUGGCCUUCUGAAUGUCCAUCCCCUGCACUCCUCGCCCCCACAUGGGUACACAGGCAAAACCCUUUGUUCUUUGUGUCACCCCCUUCCAAACGUACUGAUCUUGUAAAAUGAACAAAAAUGAAAACAAUGGUGGAGCUUAUUAAUAUGUUUUAUAUUUGCGGGGGAAAAAAAACCUAGAUGGUGGAUUCGGAUGUUUAGUAGCAUGGCUCAGAUUGCCAGAAGUCAUUAAGAUGGUCAUUUUAGUGAUGCGUCUUAAUCAAGAAGGCCUUUUGACUGCUGUUUUUAGAUAUUGAUCUAUUUAACCUGCUGUAAUCAGUACUUAGCAAAUGGCAUUUCCUCUACGACUCUAGAAUAAAGAAGAUAAAGAAAUCAUUACCAUACAUGGACUUUCUAAGUAUUCACAAGGUUUGGGAAGGAUUUUAACUUGGUAGUAUGUUGUCAUGGUAACCAGGAGAGGUGGAGUCUGAAGCGGUUUAAGUUGAUAUCCUCUGUGAUGGGUUCAUUACGUUAGCUUUUUAUUUCAUGUUUGUGUUUUAUUUUCAUUCAUAAAAAAAGUUUGUUUUUUUGGAUAAGUAGAUGUUUGAACUGUAUUUUAGUGUUCAUGUUUUAAGAGUGGGAACUUCAGAUUGUACUUCACGAACAGAUGAGAUUAAAGUCUUAAAAUAUUGUGUUGGAUGAACUCAUGAGUCUUUAUCAUGUCUUAACACAGGACUGGU